rnacentral:rRNA from 1 species
GUGCCAGCAGCCGCGGUAAUACGGAGGGUGCAAGCGUUAUCCGGAAUCACUGGGUUUAAAGGGUGCGUAGGCGGUUUGAUAAGUCAGUUGUGAAAUACCCCGGCUUAACCGGCGGUCGUGCGAUUGAUACUGUUGGACUUGAAUCAGGUUGAGGUAGGCGGAAUGUGGCAUGUAGCGGUGAAAUGCAUAGAUAUGCCAUAGAACACCGAUUGCGAAGGCAGCUUGCUGGACCUAGAUUGACGCUGAGGCACGAAAGCGUGGGGAGCAAACAGGAUUAGAAACCCCUGUAGUCC